rnacentral:lncRNA from 1 species
AAAUAUCUACAUUAAUAUAUAUAUAUAGUCAUUCUUAGGUCCACCCCCUAGGUGAACCUCUAGGUUCACCAACCAAUAAGAUUGUUUUAUUUUAUAUUCGAUAUCUUUUAAAAAAUGAAACAAAAUAUUAUCAAAUUAUAUUAUGUUUUUAAAAUUAAAAAGUAAAAAAAAAAGUAAUAAUUACAAAAAAAAUAUUUUACUCGUCAGCAUAACAUUAAACCUAAACCCUA